rnacentral:lncRNA from 1 species
ACCCCGUUUAUAAAGCACUAUUUGAUUUCGAGUCAUUCGGGCCAUCUGGUUUGUACUCGAGAAUUGGUGGCAAUACUGAUAGACAAGGAUCAGAAGAUGCUUUGAUAAGGUUCAACCCGACAGAAAUAAUCAAGCUGCAGGUUAUUCAAAUUUCAAGCGACAGAGCAGAUAUUUGUAGCGCUGAGGCAGGCGGGCUUCCGGCUUUUUGGAUCUACUUUGUUUGUUUGUUUUGCCCAAGAUCUACCAACCAGAGCCAUCUGCAAACAAACAAACAAACAAACAACCCCCCCCUCACAGAAUUGUUGAACAAGUCAGAAAAUCUGUUUGUUAAGUAA